GACGAACGCUGGCGGCGUGCUUAACACAUGCAAGUCGAACGGAAAGGCCCUGUUUGCAGGGUACUCGAGUGGCGAACGGGCGAGUAACUAGCGGGUGAUCUGCCCUGCACUUCGGGAUAAGCUUGGGAAACUGGGUCUAAUACCGACCAGGUCCGCACUUUAGUGUGUGUGGUGGAAAGUUUUUUCGGUGUUGGAUGAGCUCGCGGCCUAUCAGCUUGUGUGUGGGGUAAUGGCCUACCAAGGCGGCGACGGGUAGCCGGCCUGAGAGGGUGUACGGCCACAUUGGGACGGAGAUACGGCCCAGGCACCGACGGGAGGGAGAAGUGGGAAAGAUUGCACAAUGGGCGCAAGCCUGAUGCAGCGACGCCGCGUGGGGGAUGAAGGCGUUCGGGUUGUAAACUCCUUUCGCGAGGGACGAAGCUUUGUUGUGACGGUACCUAGAUAAGAAGCACCGGCUAACUACGUG
rnacentral:rRNA from 1 species